rnacentral:lncRNA from 1 species
AUGCCGCAGUCAAAGUCCCGGAAGAUCGCGAUCCUGGGCUACCGGUCUGUGGGGAAAUCCUCAUUGACGAUUCAAUUUGUUGAAGGCCAAUUUGUGGACUCCUACGAUCCAACCAUAGAAAACACUUUUACAAAGUUGAUCACAGUAAAUGGACAAGAAUAUCAUCUUUAACUUGUAGACACAGCCGGGCAAGAUGAAUAUUCUAUCUUUCCUCAGACAUACUCCAUAGAUAUUAAUGGCUAUAUUCUUGUGUAUUCUGUUACAUCAAUCAAAAGUUUUGAAGUGAUUAAAGUUAUCCAUGGCAAAUUGUUGGAUAUGGUGGGGAAAGUACAAAUACCUAUUAUGUUGGUUGGAAAUAAGAAAGACCUGCAUAUGGAAAGGGUGAUCAGUUAUGAAGAAGGGAAAGCUUUGGCAGAAUCUUGGAAUGCAGCUUUUUUGGAAUCUUCUGCUAAAGAAAAUCAGACUGCUGUUGAUGUUUUUCGAAGGAUGAUUUUGGAGGCAGAAAAAAUGGACGGGGCAGCUUCACAAGGCAAGUCUUCAUGCUCGGUGAUGUGAU